CAGUCGCCGCGGUAAUACGUAGGUCCCGAGCGUUGUCCGGAUUUAUUGGGCGUAAAGCGAGCGCAGGCGGUUUGAUAAGUCUGAAGUUAAAGGCAUUGGCUCAACCAAUGUAUGCUUUGGAAACUGUUAGACUUGAGUGCAGAAGGGGAGAGUGGAAUUCCAUGUGUAGCGGUGAAAUGCGUAGAUAUAUGGAGGAACACCGGUGGCGAAAGCGGCUCUCUGGUCUGUCACUGACGCUGAGGCUCGAAAGCGUGGGUAGCGAACAGGAUUAGAUACCCGGGUAGUCCCUGUCUCUUAUACA
rnacentral:rRNA from 1 species